GAGUCGUAGAUUGAGAGAUUCUCCAGCAUGAAGAUGUCCCAUACCUUAUUGAUCCAUUGAGACAGUGUUGGUCCACCAACAAUGGAGGAAAUCCGCCUUCUCUCCACAUCCUUUCCAGCAAAGCGGUGAAGUUGAGGGGAGAAUGUGGGAUAAUCUUGCUGGUGUGAGGUACCAUCUGGCAGCCAAUAAGGAGAUACAUUGACCUCGUAUAACUGCUUUGGAGGCAUCCCAUACGGAUGAUUCUUUUACAAUAGUAAUAUUGAGCACUGAGCUUAAGGGGCCUAAGCGGAUGUGGGCCGGAGACCAGUUCCCAGGCGGUGGCCCUGGCCGAAGGCUUCCUCCUGAGUCAGGUCG